CCCUUUCCUCUCUCUCUCUACCCGAGAGCUUCUCUCUCUACCUCUCACCGGAAAUUGCCCCACCACCGGACGCCGCCGCCACGUCGCCGGAACCCCAUCCUUUACCAAAAUUUCCAGAUUUUCUUCUCUUCCUUCCCUCUUUCCAUUUCUCCAACCAAAAUCAAGAAAUUUGGCCAUCCAACCCUCCAAAAACCUUAGAACCCGAAGCUAAAUUGGGGCUUUUUGUGAUUUCUUCAUUCCAAGUUCAAAUCAAGAGGCUAGCUAUGGGUUUGGCAAGGAUUUGUGGUGAAGAAGGCCAUGGAGGAGGCUUAGGCCGUGAGUUUUGAAGAAGAAAGGGAAACAUGAUCGUUAAGGAAGCUUAAGCGGAAAGCGUCAGAGUGUGGAAUACGCCGGCAUUUCCAGGUAGGGUGAGUUGUCCCUUCCUUGUUAGAGGCUUUUCUAUAUGUGGAAUGCCCUAGUAUAAUAAUAUGUUGCCUGCAAGUACGUUUUUGGGUUGUUCAUUAGUCGAUGCCUCGUGAUACAUGUGUUUUCAGAACUGAUACUAGUAUAAUAAUAUGUUGCCUGCAAGUACGUUUUUGGGUUGUUCAUUAGUCGAUGCCUCGUGAUACAUGUGUUUUCAGAACUGAUAAUUGCUAAUUGCAAAAACCGAGGCUAGACUUGCAUGUUGAGAUACUGUACCCUUGUAUGUUUGUACUUGUGACCUGAAAGUGAAUGGGACCUAGACGCGUAGAUUCCUAGGGAUCCCACGGUGUCGAUAACCGUGAACCUCCGGAGGGGGCCGUGCUCCUAUGUUUGUCGAGAAAGAGUGAGUACAGACAGUGAACUAGUCAUAGGAGACUCAGGGCCAGGAAAUGGACACUUUCGCUACUUAUAGUCGGAAGUACUACAGAGUAGUUGGCUGGUUCUCGAAUUCAGGACGAACCAGGUCGGUCACCGAUUUGAUUUAUAUUGGCCGGCAGGUAAGUAUCUCGGAGCUCUAAGUUGUGUGAAGCAUACUGCAUAUGUUUUAUAAAAGAGAUAAAUGUUUGUGGUUGCCUAUUUUAAAAGUAUUUUCAAUAAACGUGCACAAUAUUAUGUAGUAAAUAUUUUCAAGCAUAUUAUUUUCAAACCUAGCAUGGUUGGGUCGGCCCCUAUUGGGCAUGCGAGGACGAAAGCUCACCCCUACUAUAGUGUGCAGGUUUCGAGCAUGUGAUCGGGAAGCGUACAGGGGAGGCACAUGGCCCGGCUUGGCGCAUUUCUCUUUAGUUUUAUCAAAAGGAAGGUUUUGGUCCCUUAUCGGAUUUUGAAGUAACUUAGUUAUUUAUUUUCUUACUAAUUUAUUUGUUUAUUUGUUUUCUGUUCGCUCAUCUACAAAAUUUCGAGAGACCCGUAACCCUAGGGCGCGUCUCUCAUAAUUGUUUUUUUUACUUCGUGAUUCGUUAUUUUCCAAAUUGGGCUCCUAUUGUAAGCCCAAAUCUUUUAGCUCA